UCACAAGGUAUUGACUGGCGUA
rnacentral:miRNA from 1 species